rnacentral:lncRNA from 1 species
UAGAAAAAGUGUGGAAAGUUGGCAGUCCGGACGGUUCAUGCAUUUGCAGAAUUUUCCUUCCGGUUACAAGAUAGAGCAAAGAAAUUUCAGUGCAGAAAAAUGAAGCCUUAUAUUCCAAUUUUUUUCCAGCUAUGUGAAAGGUAAGUAAACAUUAUUAAACAUCUAGUCAUAAUUAUUUAUUUUUAAAAUGUACCCUACGGGUAUGUAAAUUAAUAUAUGAAAAAUAUUUUAAAAAAUAUGGUAAAAUCAAAACAAUAUAUCAAAAUAAUUUGAUAUCUAUAUGUACCAGAAGUAGAAAAAAAAAAACAACAAUGCUACUGGUUGGCACUAAAAAUCCUGUUAUGAACAACAUAGUCUGGGCAAAGGAAUCCUUGUACACUUCAGUCUUCAACCUGCUAACUCUAUUCUCUUGAGCUUUCCAUUUUGCAUCCCUUUCUUAUCUAGAAGUUCAAGUCAAGCUAGCAUUGAGUUAAGAGUAAAUAAUAAGCACAGGUGAAAUGGCAAAAAUAUGUGGUGUUAGUUAAUAUCAUUCUCAAAUUCAAUCCUUCCAUAAUUCAUGUCUCAUACCAUACAAAUACUAAAAAUAUCCACUUCAUGCAGUUUCCUCCCAUUUUCUUAUGUUGACGAGGAAAUUUUCCAAGUCAACUAAACUGUUACACCAUUUUUUUAUUGAAAAACGGGGUCGACUUGGGUUUUGAAAAUGAAAAUGGGAGUCGCCACCAAUCUUUUUUAUAAGGUGUUAUUGGAUCACCUUGCAAAGCGUUGUUUUUAAUAAACAAUUUAAUUUUAUUAAAACAACGAUUUUGGUCCACGAAAUUCAGAAAAAACGGGUUCGGGAGUCGGUUACGCACGAGGAAGGAUUAGCACCCUCGAUACGCCCAAAAUUGGUACUUAGUUGAUUACUUAAAAUUUUUUUAUUUUUGUUUUUUGGCAAAUGUAUACUGUUUUUUUUAUAUAUAUGUAAAUAUAUGUAUAUAUAUAAAUAUAAAAAGAACAGAUGCAAAAAAAGAGAUGUGAAAAAGAAACCUUGAAACUUGUUUUUUUUAUUUCUUUUAAAGUUCUUGUACCAAAAUCUAAAAAAAAAAAAAAAAAACCCUAAAAUACAUUUUUCGUUGGCUUUUAUAGCCCAUCUUUGCUACCGUUUCUUGUCUUUUCUUCUUUGAUUUUGCAGGUGCAAGUGAUGGGACAGUGGCGGUGGCACUAGGUCGGCGACCAGCAGGGCAGCACCUAGGGUUUGAAAAAUUUUAAUUUUUUGUUUCUGAUUUGGGUUUCUGGGCUAGGGUUAGAUUUGGGCUUAUUAAGCUUUUUGUUUUCUGAUUUGGGCUGUGGUGUAUUGGGCUAGGCUAGUUGGAUCUGGGGCUGUUUGGUUAGGGUAAUGGGUUGUUUGUAAUUGGGCCCCGGGUCAAAAAUUGGGCCCUACAUAAACUGUUCAGUAAAUAAAAGAUUAAUGAUGCGGUCGGUCUUAUUAAAUCGUUUCAAGAUUUUUUUUAGUGGCAAUUACUAAUUACAAGUGGAAACACGAAAGGAAACUCAAGGUAGCAAAUACAAGACAACCUUGAGUUUGAGUUGGUAUGCACGAUAUUGCCGAGAUAUUACAUGAAGGGUACUAAAAUUAUUCAAAAAAAAAUGUUUCUUUUUGGGACAAUCAAAUAUUAGUUUUCAGCUUUAAAUACUUGUAAUCAAUAAUAAAUCCCUCGGAGGUUUUGCAG